GGAGGGCAAGUCUGGUGCCAGCAGCCGCGGUAAUUCCAGCUCCAAUAGCGUAUAUUAAAGUUGUUGUGGUUAAAAAGCUCGUAGUUGAACCUUGGGCCUGGCUGGCCGGUCCGCCUCACCGCGUGUACUGGUCCGGCCGGGCCUUUCCCUCUGUGGAACCCCAUGCCCUUCACUGGGUGUGGCGGGGAAACAGGACUUUUACUGUGAGAAAAUUAGAGUGCUCCAGGCAGGCCUAUGCUCGAAUACAUUAGCAUGGAAUAAUAGAAUAGGACGUGUGGUUCUAUUUUGUUGGUUUCUAGGACCGCCGUAAUGAUUAAUAGGGACAGUCGGGGGCAUCAGUAUUCAAUUGUCAGAGGUGAAAUUCUUGGAUUUAUUGAAGACUAACUACUGCGAAAGCAUUUGCCAAGGAUGUUUUCAUUAAUCAGGAACGAAAGUUAGGGGAUCGAAGACGAUCAGAUACCGUCGUAGUCUUAACCAUAAACUAUGCCGACUAGGGAUCGGACGGUGUUAUUUUUUGACCCGUUUGGCACCUUACGGGAAAC
rnacentral:rRNA from 1 species